GAACCCUUCUACACUCAAGACUCUGACACAACUGUACAAUGUACAAGAUCUUGGGUUUGUGUCCCAAUGCAUCAACACAGUGGUGUGAGCAGAGGGACGACUCAACAGAAGAGUGGGAGAUAGACUGCAUAUCUCUAUGAUCCACCAAUUGCCUUAAUCAAGGUCUUUACCUGCUUGGGGACAAAGUUAAACAAUCACAAACAUUGCCCCGAAAGGGGGACUUCAGAC
rnacentral:lncRNA from 1 species